GAUGAACGCUGGCGGCGUGCCUAAUACAUGCAAGUCGAGCGAACAGACGAGGAGCUUGCUCCUCUGACGUUAGCGGCGGACGGGUGAGUAACACGUGGAUAACCUACCUAUAAGACUGGGAUAACUUCAGGAAACCGGAGCUAAUACCGGAUAAUAUAUUGAACCGCAUGGUUCAAUAGUGAAAGACGGUUUUGCUGUCACUUAUAGAUGGAUCCGCGCCGCAUUAGCUAGUUGGUAAGGUAACGGCUUACCAAGGCAACGAUGCGUAGCCGACCUGAGAGGGUGAUCGGCCACACUGGAACUGAGACACGGUCCAGACUCCUACGGGAGGCAGCAGUAGGGAAUCUUCCGCAAUGGGCGAAAGCCUGACGGAGCAACGCCGCGUGAGUGAUGAAGGUCUUCGGAUCGUAAAACUCUGUUAUUGGGGAAGAACAAAUGUGUAAGUAACUAUGCACGUCUUGACGGUACCUAAUCAGAAAGCCACGGCUAACUACGUG
rnacentral:rRNA from 1 species